rnacentral:rRNA from 12 species
CAUAGCAGCCACACAGUGUGAGUGCCUGAUAACGUUUGCUCUUGGAAGCUAAGCAGGGCUGUUCCUGGUUACUACUCGGAAAGGAGACCAACUUGCAAGACCAAGGGCUGCUUGUGU